rnacentral:rRNA from 1 species
CCUACGGGCGGCAGCAGUGAGUAAUAUUGGUCAAUGGCCGGAAGGCUGAACCAGCCAUGCCGCGUGAAGGUCAGUGCCCUAUGGGCGUUAAACUUCUUUUGUGCGGGAGCAAUAAUGGUCACGUGUGGCCAGACGAGAGUACCGUACGAAUAAGCAUCGGCUUACCCCGGUCCAGCAGCCGCGGUAAUACGGGGGAUGCAAGCGUUAUCCGGAUUUAUGGGGUUUAAAGGGUGCGUAGGCUGUGAGGUAAGUCGGCGGUGAAAUGCCCCCGCUCAACGGGGUGAAGUGCCAUUGAUACUGGCUUGCUGGAGUGCGGGUGACGUGGGAGGAAUGUGUGGUGUAGCGGUGAAAUGCAUAGAUAUCACACAGAACACCGAUUGCGAAGGCAUCUCACGAAUCCGCGAUUGACGCUGAUGCACGAAAGCGUGGGUAUCAAACAGGAUUAGAUACCCCUGUAGUC